UACGUAGGCAGCAAGCGUUGUUCGGAAUUACUGGGCGUAAAGGGUGCGUAGGCGGCUUUUUAAGUUGGUGUGAAAUCUCCCGGCUCAACUGGGAGGUGCGCCGAAUACUGAGAAGCUAGAGUGUGGGAGAGGAAAGUGGAAUUCCUGGUGUAGCGGUGAAAUGCGUAGAUAUCAGGAGGAACACCGGUGGUGUAAACGGCUUCUGGACCAUAACUGACGCUGAGGCACGAAAGCGUGGGUAGCAAACAGG
rnacentral:rRNA from 1 species